GACAGAGGUGCCGAGCGUUAGGCGGAAUCACUGGGCUUAAAGCGUGUGUAGGCGGGUGCCUAAGUACCUUGUGAAAUCCCACGGCUCAACCGUGGAACUGCUCGGUAUACUGGGUGCCUUGAGCCAACUAGGGGCGACCGGAACAAACGGUGGAGCGGUGAAAUGCGUAGAUAUCGUUUGGAACGCCGAUGGUGAAAACAGGUCGUGGGGUUGUGCUGACGCUGAGACACGAAAGCCAGGGGAGCGAACGGG
rnacentral:rRNA from 1 species